rnacentral:rRNA from 1 species
UACAGAGACUGCAAGCGUUAUUCGGAUUCACUGGGCGUAAAGGGUGCGCAGGCGGCCAUGUGUGUCAGGUGUGAAAGCCCGGGGCUUAACCCCGGAAUUGCGCCUGAAACUACAUGGCUAGAGCAUUGGAGAGGGUAGCGGAAUUCACGGUGUAGCAGUGAAAUGCGCAGAUAUCGUGAGGAACACCAGAGGCGAAGGCGGAUCGCUGGGCCAACACUGACGCUGAUGUGCGAAAGCUAGGGGAGCAAACGGG